UGAAGGUGUGAUCUGUUAAGACGACCUGAGAGGGAAUCCCGUUGGAAUCGGGAGCUGUACCCGCAGCUGUAAUCUUCGGUAUUCAUUCUACUUCUGACCACUAUUCCUAUCGGAAUGGGAAGGUAAACGGAUGAGAAGAGAGCCAGAAAACCUGCCGAAUAUUG
rnacentral:ncRNA from 1 species